AAUAAUUUACUUGUGUGUUUUCUUAUUUUUCAUUUACUUACUUGUUUUAUUUUAUUUUUAAAGUGACGUGUGUUUUUUGUGGUUUUUGAGUUGCAAUUGUGAGUAUUUUCUAUGUUCUCUUGAUUAAAGACAUGUGGUGUGAUGUGAUUGAUUCUUUUUGUGCAUUAUUAGUAUGAUAUGUAGGAAUAAACUCUAAAUUGUACAUCAUUUGUGGCAGAUCAAUUAACCUUGUG
rnacentral:lncRNA from 1 species